GGCAGAAACGAGAGAGAGAGAGAGAGAGAGAGAGAGAGAGAGAAAGAAGGAGUGAGGGACAACAGAUCGGAGCAGGAGUCGGAACAGCGGUUCUGGGCGAUGCUGUCCUCACUGUGGACAUGGACCAUUCUUUGAGUUUCUUCACCUCGUGUGUGAGGAGAGGACUGUGCUACAGGCGUCAGUCUCUGUGGGUCCUGCUCCUCCUGCUGGUGGUCUGUCUUGCUAUUCAGACAUUCGUCGCUCGUCAGGCGAGUAGUGACCGACCGACCAGGCUGCCACUCCUGAGGUUCACGGUCAACAAACAGCAGCUGUUUCCUACCAUCAUUCCUGGAGAUGACGAUGCUGAGUUCUCCCUUCAAGUCCAGCAGGACGUGAGAUCAGAACCCACUGGAAGCAGUUUGAACCGUCACCCUGAGAAUGCAGGACGUGCAGAGUCGUCUGAUAAUAUUUUACGGACCAGUGAUUCUGGCUCUGAUACGAAGGAAGGCAAAGUUCCCUCUCAGAAGUUUCUGUCGGAGAAGCAGAGGAACAACGCCGCCGCUGGACUCACCACUGACGAGACUUUAAUUAGACCCAGAAACAGAAGGCCAGCCAACACCUCCACGCUGCUCAGCUUCAUCAACAACGCCAACUCAGAAACCACUUGCCGACCAAAGUCGCACAUCGUCUUCCUCAAGACUCACAAGACGGCCAGCAGCACCAUCCUCAACAUCUUAUAUCGCUAUGGUGAACGCAGGAAUUUGACCUUUGCCCUGCCCUUGGACAAACACAGUCAGUUGUUUUAUCCUUUCUUCUUUGCGUCACACUUCGUGGAAGGCUUCAGCAGCAGGAGAGUGAAGGAGUUCAACAUCAUGUGCAACCACAUGAGGUUCAAGAAAUACGAGGUGGCCAAAGUGAUGCCCGGCGACUCCUUCUACUUCUCUGUGCUGAGAAACCCCGUGGCGAUGAUGGAGUCCAUCUUCACCUACUACAAGAGCAUACAAGCCUUUCACAAAACCAACAGCUUGGACGACUUCCUAAAAACCAGCUGGAGAAACUACAACUCGUCGGUCACCAACAACCACUACGCCCACAACAUCCUGGCCUUUGACUUCGGUUUCGACAACAAUGUCGCUGCUGACGCCGCGGACUUCGAGGACAGAGUCAGCAGGGUGAUCGCGGCCAUCGAACGGGAUUUCCACCUCAUUCUUAUUUCUGAAUAUUUCGACGAGUCCAUGAUCUUGCUCAAGCACGCCCUCUGCUGGUCGCUGGAGGACGUGGUGUCUUUCAAACUCAACAGUCGCAGCGAAAGAACUCGCCGCCAACUUUCCUCAGACACGGUGGAGGAAAUCAAAAAAUGGAACGCUCUGGACUGGAGGAUUUACCAGCAUUUCAACAACACUUUCUGGUACAAGGUGAACAGCUUGGUGGGCGACGAGCAGAUGACGAGGGAAGUCUCUCAGUUAAGAGAGCUUCAGGACGAGCUCGCGAACACCUGCCUGAAAGAUGGCCGGGCCGUAGAGCCGUCUCAGAUCAAAGACGCUGCACUGAAGCCGUUCCAGUACGGAGCGGCUGUGAUUCAGGGCUACAACCUGAACCCACAUAUAGACCAACAGACCAGGGCCAGAUGUGAGAGGCUCAUUACCCCAGAACUGCAGUACACAGAACGCCUGUACACGCAGCAGUUCCCUGAGCUGGCUGCCAAACAAAGACGAGCCACCAGGAAGAUUCCUUCGCGGCACCAGCGUUCAAAUAGAAGUGAAAUAAUGGGCCUGGCGUUGGCGAAGGAAGCCUUUCAGAAACUGUUUGUUAGAAGAAAAUUCUUCAAUCUGAAAAACCAGGAGGUUUCCAAAGGUUCCCCGCCAGCAGCUGACAACAGAAGAAGAAUAUGAAGAAGACUUACUUCAGUGUGGGAAAUUAUAGUAGAAUAAUAACAGAUUUCACCUGAACCCCUGCAGGGGGCGCUCUUAGCAGAGUUCAAAUGCCAUUGUCCAUGUGCUUUUUUUCUUGUUUUAUAGGAAUAAUCAAUCACUACGUUUGUCACAAAAGGUUGAAAAAUGUUUCGGAGAUGAGUAACGACUAAAAAGGUUAGGAGAAAUACAACUCUUCGACUUAGAGUUAAAUCAAAAUAUGUUCUGUUUCUGCCAGACAUUUUUCUUAAGGGCAAAUCUGAACACCAUAGUUGUUGGAAGAAACAUAAAUAAAUGUUUUUUUUUAACCACUAGAGGUUUUGUCUUCCCCGCCCCGAAAUAAACCCCCCAAAAAACAAACAAGGAUGGAUUCAGUCCAUGUCCUGUGUUGUUUUUGAUUUUCAUUUCUAGAAAAUUCUCCAUCAACAACACUGUCUCUGUCCACUGUAGUUUAACUCUGUACCACAGUCUCAGGCCACAGAUGAAGCUCCUCACACUGGAAUGAAGGUAAAUCUAAAAAGGUUUUAUUUAAAAACACUAAAUGUUUCAUGUUAUGAAAACCCACUGAGAUCAGAAUGAUUCCUGAUGAAGACGGACGAACGCUUCCUCUGCCGUUCCAUGAAGACCAAAACAAAGUUUUUGUUUUUUUUACUAGAAUUUGACACUUUUACUCCUUUCGACCUUUUCAAAGAAAUGUAUUUUCUUACCUUCAACAAGGUUUGUUAGCUUUAAGAACUGGUGUAUAAAAUUAAUGAUUUUUUUUAGGUGAUAGGUUUUGCUUUGUUAAUAUAGCAAAUGGUGAUAAAAAAAUGUGUGAAAUAAAAUUAUUUAUUUAUUAAACU